AAAAACUCAAUUCCUGAGUUUCCAUUUCUAACGUUUGACCGUCCGUCUUAUUUGAAAAAAUUAUAAAAAAACUUUAAAAAAUAAGUCAUGCAUAAAGUAUUAUUUAUAUUUUAUCAUCUAACCAUAAUGAAAAUACUAAUCAUUAAAAAAAUUCAUAUAAGACGGACGGUCAAACGUUGGACACAGAAAUCGAAG
rnacentral:pre_miRNA from 1 species